rnacentral:rRNA from 1 species
UACGGGGGGGGCAAGCGUUGUUCGGAAUUACUGGGCGUAAAGGGCUCGUAGGCGGCCAACUAAGUCCGACGUGAAAUCCCAAGGCUUAACCUUGGAACUGCGUCGGAUACUGGAUGGCUUGAAUUCGGGAGAGGGAUGCAGAAUUCCAGGUGUAGCGGUGAAAUGCGUAGAUAUUCGCAAGAACACCAGUGGCGAAGGCGGCUCACUGGCCCGAUACUGACGCUGAGGUGCGAAAGCGUGGGGAGCAAACAGG